AUUCAAUAUACUUAAAAAGCUUUCCUCACCCCUGUUUUGAACUACUCAAUCAUGAGAAGAUUGUACACUUUCAAGUCAAUCACUUCUCUUCUUUGCAUGUUUUCGUUUUGUCAUUGAACUAAUCCGUAUUUUCCCCUAGAUCCUGAUCCUACUCAUCUUUCAAGAAUUGUCUCCAUUUCUUAGCUUUCUCUACUCCUCCCCCUUUUCCAGUUAUUUUAGGCUAGAAGCUGUGCCCCCAAAGACAUCGACUUCCAAGAUCACUGAGGCAGAAACACAGGGAUGGAGCAGGCACUUAGCUCUUCAUGCCUCAACCGAGAAGGGCACCAAUUAUCUUCCUAUAGGUAUUGUUCAGAACAUGAUCCAUGGACCUGACCCACGUGUAAAAAGAUCUGGAAUUUAGAAGAGCCCAGAAACUACGGUGACUGCCAACUGCUUCUGUCAUAGUCACCUAUGAUCGUCAAUCAUCAGGGAAGUCCUUAAUAAAAGCACACA
rnacentral:lncRNA from 1 species